GAUAUCUGGUCUACUAAAUUAUGGAUGGAAAGGAAAACAAUCAUAAUUUUCAUAUACAAAACAUUAAUAUUUCCAUAUACAAAAUAUUAAAUGUUAUAAAAAUAUACGUUAUGAAUAAAAUAUAAUCCAACGAAAAAUAUGUUCAAAUUUUAUAAAAAUUUUGUCUAAAAAUCCUUCCGCGCGAAAAUGUUGUUUCCAAAAAACUUGUUUGUUUAUUGAUUUCAAACAUUUUUUAUGGAUAUUGUGUAAUAAUGAAAUAAAUAAAAUCGUACUCAUUUUAAAUAUAAUGAUGAGGUGUGCGGUGAAAUUAAAUCGUGACGCGUGAGGUACCUUAAGAGGGCUGGAUAGUCGUGGCCAUUUUAGACCAUUAUUAUCUCCUGGACAUGGAGAGCUCUGUAUACAGAUAUAUGAAAAUAUUCAAAUUUUAAUUCAUUCAUAAACAAAUAGUUUUUAGCAGAAAUCCGCAUAUUUAUAAUUUUAAGGUAGAACUGAUAGGUAAUUUGUGAGGCAUACAUCACCCAGGAAGUAAGGUCAUGCUUCCCUGCAUCCGGUUAAAUUUUAAACAUCCACUACAAGCUUCCGAUUAUCACCACUACUCAGUAUCUAGAUGAAAUCGGAAAUUGAUUAUUCAUUACGUAUAUUUACAAUGCAUGUUGCAGUCCCUUUAGCUUGCCGUUAUUUUUGGUAGGACAGUCUGAAUCAAAUGAGAAAAGAAACAUUCAUAAAUAGUUAUAAAUGAAAACAAAAACAAAAUCCUAUAGGGCAGAAUUUACACGAGCAGUAAUGAUUCACAGGAUUUUUCAUUAUGAUUUAAAGUAUCUUUGGAAUAAAAGCAUGUAAACAGUCAGAAUCAAUAAAUUUCCCAAAAUGCGACUUUUUUUUUUAUUAAAUGGAAUGUUUUCUGCAGAUUGAACAGCAGAUCUGACCAAAGUGUUCGAAACGUAGGCUUUACUUAACCAGUUCUCAUAUACCGCAAUAGCAGUAUUUGCAAUGUUUAAGUAAUUCGAUUGAAUGUCAUGAUUUAGAAAAGUAAUCUUUAAUCGAAUUUCAAAAAUUGACGUUAAUAUAAUGCUUAAAUGUUAUGUUUUUUUUGUACAAUAUGCAUGUCUUUCAGCUUAUAUUUUAAUUAAAUGAUACAUUUUUAUAUACUUUUAUAUAUUGCAUUGAAUAUUAUUUCAAUAUGCUCAGCACUAAUAAAUCUUUUGAAAAAAU
rnacentral:sRNA from 1 species